rnacentral:misc_RNA from 1 species
CAGCCACUCAUGAGCUCGAGUCUUUGGCACAAGAAAAACAGCACAUUGAUAUGCAAAAGGUCCAAAGUUCCUUUGGGCAUCAAGAAGCACAGCUCUGUAACAGAAAAGGGAAACCCCAGGUUCACCUAAACUAAGCUGAACUCUACGACUUGGAUGAAGCUCUGCCAGAUUCCCCUCAACUCCGAUUUUCAAGUCUUCUAGUGCAUAUGUG